ACAUUCGGCCAUAUCAAGUUGACAAACGCCGUAUCCCAUCCCGAACUACGAAGCUAAGUCACUUUGAGCUGGGCUAGUACUGAGAUGAGGGAUCGGUCUGGAAUCCCCAGUGCUGAAUGUU
rnacentral:rRNA from 12 species